rnacentral:rRNA from 1 species
CGCGCCUAACACAUGCAAGUCGAGGGAGAACCAACCCUUCGGGUGUGGGGAGACCGGCGAACGGGUGAGUAACACGUGAGGAACCUACCUCGUAGACCGGAAUAACCACGGGAAACUGUGGCUAAUGCCGGAUAUGCUCUGUCCGUCGCAUGGCGGAUGAGGAAAUGGUCAGCCGCUACAGGAUGGCCUCGCGGCCUAUCAGCUAGUUGGUGGGGUAACGGCCCACCAAGGCGACGACGGGUAGCUGGCGUGAGAGCGCGAACAGCCACACUGGGACUGAGACACGGCCCAGACUCCUACGGGAGGCAGCAGUGGGGAAUCUUGCGCAAUGGGCGAAAGUCUGAGGCAGCGCCGCCGCGUGUGGGAGGAAGGCUUUCGGGUUGUAAACCACUUUCAGGAGGGAAGAAGCAAAAGUGACGGUACCUUCAGAAGAGGCCCCGGCCAACUAGGUGCCACCAGCCGGGGUAAUACGUAGGGGGCAAGCGUUGUC